rnacentral:rRNA from 1 species
GGAUUAGGCAUGCAAGUCGCACGAGAAAGGCUUCUUCGGAAGCCGAGUACAGUGGCGAACGGGUGAGUAAUGCAUAGACAACUCGCCCUUGAGAUGGGGACAGCGCCUCGAAAGGGGUGCUAAUACCCAAUGCCGCCUUGGGCCUGCGGGUCCAGGGUGAAAGGAGGCCUCUGAUUCAAGCUUCCGCUCAAGGAGAGGUUUAUGUCCUAUUAGCUAGUUGGCGGGGUAACGGCCCACCAAGGCUGCGAUGGGUAGCCGACCUGAGAGGGUGACCGGCCACAUUGGGACUGAGACACUGCCCAGACUCCUACGGGAGGCUGCAGUCGAGAAUCUUCCGCAAUGCGCGCAAGCGUGACGGAGCGACGCCGCGUGGGUGAUGAAGGCCUUCGGGUUGUAAAACCCCGUCAGCUACUACGAAACACGGGCGAUGAACAAUCGUCCCGUCUGACUUAAGUAGCAGAGGAAGCACCGGCUAACUACGUGCCAGCAGCCGCGGUAAUACGUAGGGUGCGAACGUUGUUCGGAAUCACUGGGCAUAAAGGGCGCGUAGGCGGUCUGAUAAGUCAGGUGUGAAAUCCCUCGGCCUAACCGAGGAACUGCAUUUGAUACUGUCGGGCUAGAGUACAGGAGGGGAGAGUGGAAUUCCUGGUGGAGCGGUGAAAUGCGUAGAUAUCAGGAGGAACGCCGGCGGCGAAAGCGACUCUCUGGCCUGUUACUGACGCUGAGGCGCGAAAGCUAGGGGAGCAAACGGGAUUAGAUACCCCGGUAGUCCUAGCCCUAAACGAUGGGCACUAAGUAGAGGGGUUUU